rnacentral:rRNA from 1 species
AUGAUGAGGAUGUUCUUCGAGGAGGACGCGCCGCAGCCAGACGAGCAGCUAUGCAUUGAGGGGAUCUCAAGCCCCAUAGCUGCUCACAUACUUGAUUUCUGCGAUGACGGCCUGGGUGAUAACCUCCUUGCCGCAGUGACCUCUACCUCCGGCCCAUUUGCAGCCUCCUCUGAGGAUGUUUCAUCCUCCUCCACUGCCACCCCUCCCCUCUGCAGCUACAGCGAUGACAUCCCAGAAAUGCCCUUCUCCCCGUUACCCUGCUUUGACUCCACUCUCUCAGCCCUACUUGAGGAAGAGCAAAACGCUUGCCCUGAUACCAAGCUCAUUCCCCCAAUCAACGAGACACUUGCAGCAUCAGGAUACUAUCAAGCUGUGACCGGAGAGACCAGCAUAGAGCAAUUCGGCCAACCACGGCUUCCCCAGAGUAUAGCUGAACCCUUGCUGGCAAUGCAAAUGAGCAGCACUGCACCUAUCUCGAUGCCUCUUGCUCCAGGGUGUGAUGAAGAUUGCCUCACGGCAGCACUAGCCAGAGGGUACAUGAGCCUGGAUGGUGCCCUGUAUCCGCAAACAGGAGCAAUGAUCCCGAGUUACAACACAGAGGCAUCAAAAGUAGGAUUCUUCAAUGGUAAUAGUGCUAAUAGCAAUGGUAUGGUGGUGUUAGAUAUGAGUGACAUCGGUGAGUAUCAGAGGAUGAUGGAAGGCGAAGGACUGACCAGAACAUAUAGCGAUACAGAUUCCAUGAAGGGGGCUUAUAGCAACACUGCAGAGAUGCAGAAUGCGGGGAACAACCAAGACCUGGUAAAUGGAUGCAACGGAAGCCCACCAACAUUACCUCCAACAGAAAUCUCAGGAAUAGAAGAUUCCACCUUCAAAGUUGUGCGUCUUUCAGCUGAACAGAGGAAGGAAAAGAUCCACAGGUACAUAAAGAAAAGGAAUGAGAGGAACUUCAGCAAAAAAAUAAAGUAUGCUUGCAGAAAAACUUUAGCAGAUAGCAGGCCCCGUGUCCGUGGAAGGUUUGCAAAGAACGAGGAACUUUGUGAAGCAACAAGAUCAAGCUCCCAAAAUCAUGAACAGUAUGGACAGAUUGCGGGUGCAGAUGGAGAAGACAUGCUUGACUCGUCCGAUAUUCUGGCACAUUUGAGUGGGAUAAACAACUACAGCUAUAAGUAUAAUUGUACCAUUGAAUCAUGGAUAUGA